rnacentral:rRNA from 1 species
AACGAACGCUGGCGGCGUGGAUAAGACAUGCAAGUCGAACGGGAUUUUUUCCUGUAGCAAUACAGGAAAAAGUCUAGUGGCGAACGGGUGCGUAACACGUGAGCAACCUGCCGUGAAGUGGGGGAUAGCUCGCCGAAAGGCGAAUUAAUACCGCAUGUGGCCAAGGAAGACAUCUUCCUGACGCCAAAGCCGGGGCAACCUGGCGCUUCUCGAGGGGCUCGCGGCCUAUCAGCUUGUUGGUGAGGUAACGGCUCACCAAGGCUAUGACGGGUAGCUGGUCUGAGAGGACGACCAGCCACACUGGAACUGAGACACGGUCCAGACACCUACGGGUGGCAGCAGUCGAGAAUUUUUCACAAUGGGGGAAACCCUGAUGGAGCAACGCCGCGUGGAGGAUGAAGGUUUUCGGAUUGUAAACUCCUGUCAUUAGAGAACAAGGCACACGGUUUAACUGGCCGUGUGUUGAUAGUAUCUGAAGAGGAAGAGACGGCUAACUCUGUGCCAGCAGCCGCCGUAA